rnacentral:rRNA from 1 species
UACGGGGGGGGCAAGCGUUGUUCGGAAUUACUGGGCGUAAAGGGCGCGUAGGCGGCCUGCUAAGUCACACGUGAAAUCCCUCGGCUCAACCGGGGAACUGCGUGUGAUACUGGCGGGCUUGAAUUCGGGAGAGGGAUGUGGAAUUCCAGGUGUAGCGGUGAAAUGCGUAGAUAUCUGGAGGAACACCGGUGGCGAAGGCGGCAUCCUGGACCGAGAUUGACGCUGAGGCGCGAAAGCGUGGAGAGCAAACAGG